rnacentral:misc_RNA from 1 species
GAUGAAGAACGUAGCGAAAUGCGAUAAGUAGUGUGAAUUGCAGAAUUCAGUGAAUCAUCGAAUCUUUGAACGCACAUUGCGCCCCCUGGUAUUCCGGGGGGCAUGCCUGUCCGAGCGUCAUUGCUGCCCUCAAGCACGGCUUGUGUGUUGGGCCUCCGUCCUCUUCCCGGGGGACGGGCCCGAAAGGCAGCGGCGGCACCGCGUCCGGUCCUCGAGCGUAUGGGGCUUCGUCACCCGCUCUUGUAGGCCCGGCCGGCGCUUGCCGACACAUCAAUCUUUUUUCCAGGUUGACCUCGGAUCAGGUAGGGAUACCCGCUGAACUUAAGCAUAUCAAUAAGCGGAGGA